rnacentral:rRNA from 1 species
GCAAGAUACUAAGGGCGCACGGCGGAUGCCUUGGCAUCGGAAGUCGACGAAGGGCGCGGCAAGCUGCGAUAAGCCCCGGGGAGGCGCAAACGGCCUUCGAUCCGGGGGUGCCCGAAUGGGGAAACCCGCCUGGGGCCAUGCCCAGGCACCCCCGCCCGAAUGCAUAGGGCGGCGGGAGGCAACCGGGGGAACUGAAACAUCUAAGUACCCCGAGGAGGAGAAAUCAAACGAGAUUGCGCGAGUAGCGGCGAGCGAAAGCGCACCCAGCCCAAACCCGAGCAUGCGUUACAGCCCGAAGGCGCUGCUGCUCGGGGGUCGUGGGACCGCACCGCCCGGGGCUUCGGAGCCCGGGGCGCGGUGAAAAAGGGGCUGCUCAGCGGAACGGCAUGGGAAGGCCGGCGAGACAGGGUGAAGGCCCCGUACGCGAAGAGCAGACCCCCCGCGCGAUGCGGGUCCCGAGUAGCGCCGGACACGAGGAAUCCGGCGCGAAGCAGGGGGGACCGCCCUCCAAGGCUGAAUACUCUCCGAUGACCGAUAGCGAACCAGUACCGUGAGGGAAAGGUGAAAAGCACCCCGAGAGGGGAGUGAAACAGUACCUGAAACCGUGCGCCUACAAGCAGUCGGAGCGGACAUCCAUGUUCCGUGACGGCGUGCCUUUUGUAGAAUGAGCCUGCGAGUCGCGGCGCGCGGCGAGGUUAAGGAAGACCGAGCCGCAGCGAAAGCGAGUCUGAACAGGGCGUUCAGUCGCGCGCCGCGGACGCGAAGCCGGGUGAGCUAUCCAUGGGCAGGCUGAAGCGGGGGUAAGACCCCGUGGAGGGCCGAACCCACUUCGGUUGAAAACGGAGGGGAUGACCCGUGGAUAGGGGUGAAAGGCCAAUCAAACCCGGAGAUAUCUCGUUCUCCCCGAAAUAGCUUUAGGGCUAGCGUCGGGCGAUAUCGCGCGGAGGUAGAGCACUGGAAUCUCGAGGGGGCUUCACCGCCUACCGACAGAUACCAAACUCCGAAUGCCGCGCGAGGUACCCCGGCAGUCAGAGCAUGUGGGCUAAGCUGUGUGCUCGAGAGGGAAACAGCCCAGACCGCCCGCUAAGGCCCCCAAGUCCGUGCUGAGUGGCAAAGGAUGUGCGUUUGCCUAGACAACCAGGAUGUUGGCUUAGAAGCAGCCAUGCAUUUAAAGAGUGCGUAACAGCUCACUGGUCAAGUGGACAUGCGCCGACAAUUCACGGGGCUAAGCACGGCGCCGAAGCGGCGGACCGUAUAUAUACGAUGGUAGGGGAGCUUUCAGCGCAGGGCCGAAGCCGGAGGGGCGACCCCCGGUGGACCGCGCUGAAGUGAGGAUGCAGGCAUGAGUAGCGAGAGAGGGGCGAGAACCCCCUCCGCCGUAAGCCCGAGGUUUCCUGGGCGAGGCUAAUCCCCCCAGGGUCAGCCGGGAGCUAAGGCGAGGCCGGAAGGCGUAGCCGAUGCGCAGCGGGCGGACAUUCCCGCGCCGCCGCGCGCCGCUAUCGACCGACGGGGCGACGGAGAAGGGUAGCCGGGCGGGGUUCUGGACGUCCCCGUGAAAGCGCGUAGGGAGGAGCAUAGGCAAAUCCGUGCUCCACGCAUCCUGAGACGCGAGACGAAGCUUCGAGCGAAGCCGGCGAGCCCAUGCUCCCUAGAAAAACCCCUAGGCAGGCGACGCGGCGCCCGUACCGAAAACCGACACAGGUGGGCGGGUAGAGGAUACCGAGGCGAUCGGGGGAACCAUGGUCAAGGAACUCGGCAUAAUGGUCCCGUAACCUAGGGAGAAGGGACGCCCCCGGGGGUGGAGGAGCUCGCCUCCCGAGCCCCAGGGGGCCGCAGCGAAACGGCCCAAGCGACUGUUUAUCAAAAACACAGGACUCUGCAAAGCCGCAAGGCGACGUAUAGGGUCUGACGCCUGCCCGGUGCCGGAAGGUCACGGGGAUCCGUCAGCCGCGAGGCGAAGCGGUGAACCCAAGCCCCGGUAAACGGCGGCCGUAACUAUAACGGUCCUAAGGUAGCGAAAUUCCUUGUCGGGUAAGUUCCGACCUGCACGAAUGGCGUAACGAUCUCCACACUGUCUCGGCCAGAGACUCGGUGAAAUUGCAGUCGCGGUGAAAAUUCCGUGUACCCGCAGAAAGACGGAAAGACCCUGUGCACCUUUACUAUAGCUUGACAUUGGAUUUUGGGCCUGCAUGUGUAGGAUAGGUGGGAGGCUGUGAACCCUGUACGCCAGUAUGGGGGGAGCCAUCCUUGAAAUACCACCCUUGCAUGUUUAAGAUCCUAACUUCUUCCGGUUAUCCCGGAGAAAGACAGUGUCUGGCGGGUAGUUUGACUGGGGCGGUCGCCUCCUAAAGUGUAACGGAGGCAUGCAAAGGUUCCCUCAGCCUGAUCGGAAACCAGGCGCUGAGUGCAAACGCAUAAGGGAGCUUGACUGUAAGAGAGACAUCUCGAACAGGAACGAAAGUUGGCGUUAGUGAUCCGGUGGUCCCGAAUGGAAGGGCCAUCGCUCAUUGGAUAAAAGGUACGCCGGGGAUAACAGGCUGAUCGCAUCCAAGAGUUCACAUCGACGAUGCGGUUUGGCACCUCGAUGUCGGCUCAUCACAUCCUGGGGCUGAAGCAGGUCCCAAGGGUACGGCUGUUCGCCGUUUAAAGUGGUACGCGAGCUGGGUUUAAAACGUCGUGAGACAGUUUGGUCCCUAUCUUCUGUGGGCGAAGGAGAAUUGAGAGGGCCUGUCCCUAGUACGAGAGGACCGGGAUGGACGCACCCCUGGUGAUCCUGUUGUCGCGCCAGCGGCAUAGCAGGGUAGCUAUGUGCGGAAGGGAUAACCGCUGAAAGCAUCUAAGCGGGAAGCCUGCCUCAAGAUAAGUUCUCCCCUCGAAAGAGCUGAAGGGCCCGGGUAGACUACCCGGUCGAUAGGCUGGAGGUGUAAGCGCGGCGACGUGCUCAGCUGACCAGUACUAAUAGCCCGAGCGGCUUAUUUUU